UCGAACGGUCUUUUCUAUGGAAGCUUGCUUCCACUGAGAAGAUAGUGGCGGACGGGUGAGUAACACGUGGGUAACCUGCCCAUAAGAGGGGGAUAACAUCCGGAAACGGGUGCUAAUACCGCAUAGUUUUCUUGAUCGCAUGAUUGAGAAAGGAAAGACGGCCUUUGUGCUGUCGCUUAUGGAUGGACCCGCGGCGUAUUAGUUAGUUGGUGAGGUAACGGCUCACCAAGACGAUGAUACGUAGCCGACCUGAGAGGGUGAUCGGCCACAUUGGGACUGAGACACGGCCCAAACUCCUACGGGAGGCAGCAGUAGGGAAUCUUCCGCAAUGGACGAAAGUCUGACGGAGCAACGCCGCGUGAGUGAAGAAGGUUUUCGGAUCGUAAAACUCUGUUGUCAGAGAAGAACAAGUCGGAGAGUAACUGCUCCGGCCUUGACGGUAUCUGACCAGAAAGCCACGGCUAACUACGUGCCAGCAGCCGCGGUAAUACGUAGGUGGCAAGCGUUGUCCGGAUUUAUUGGGCGUAAAGCGAGCGCAGGCGGUUCCUUAAGUCUGAUGUGAAAGCCCACGGCUCAACCGUGGAAGGUCAUUGGAAACUGGGGAACUUGAGUGCAGAAGAGGAGAGUGGAAUUCCAUGUGUAGCGGUGAAAUGCGUAGAUAUAUGGAG
rnacentral:rRNA from 1 species